GGAGCUGUAGCUCAGUGGUAGAGCACUUGCCUAGCAGGUGUGAGGCACUGGGUUUGAUCCCUAGCACCA
rnacentral:tRNA from 1 species